AGCGUACACGGUGGAUGCCCUGGCAGUCAGAGGCGAUGAAGGGCGUGCUAAUCUGCGAUAAGCGCCGGUAAGGUGAUAUGAACCGUUAUAACCGGCGAUACCCGAAUGGGGAAACCCAGUGUGAUUCGUCACACUAUCAUUAACUGAAUCCAUAGGUUAAUGAGGCGAACCGGGGGAACUGAAACAUCUAAGUACCCCGAGGAAAAGAAAUCAACCGAGAUUCCCCCAGUAGCGGCGAGCGAACGGGGAGGAGCCCAGAGCCUGAAUCAGCAUGUGUGUUAGUGGAAGCGUCUGGAAAGGCGCGCGAUACAGGGUGACAGCCCCGUACACAAAAGCGCAUGUGCUGUGAGCUCGAUGAGUAGGGCGGGACACGUGGUAUCCUGUCUGAAUAUGGGGGGACCAUCCUCCAAGGCUAAAUACUCCUGACUGACCGAUAGUGAACCAGUACCGUGAGGGAAAGGCGAAAAGAACCCCGGCGAGGGGAGUGAAAAAGAGCCUGAAACCGUGUACGUACAAGCAGUGGGAGCACCCUUCGGGGUGUGACUGCGUACCUUUUGUAUAAUGGGUCAGCGACUUAUAUUCUGUAGCAAGGUUAACCGUAUAGGGGAGCCGGAGGGAAACCGAGUCUUAACCGGGCGUUAAGUUGCAGGGUAUAGACCCGAAACCCGGUGAUCUAGCCAUGGGCAGGUUGAAGGUUGGGUAACACUAACUGGAGGACCGAACCGACUAAUGUUGAAAAAUUAGCGGAUGACCUGUGGCUGGGGGUGAAAGGCCAAUCAAACCGGGAGAUAGCUGGUUCUCCCCGAAAGCUAUUUAGGUAGCGCCUCGUGAAUUCAUCUCCGGGGGUAGAGCACUGUUUCGGCUAGGGGGCCAUCCCGGCUUACCAACCCGAUGCAAACUGCGAAUACCGGAGAAUGUUAUCACGGGAGACACACGGCGGGUGCUAACGUCCGUCGUGAAGAGGGAAACAACCCAGACCGCCAGCUAAGGUCCCAAAGUCAUGGUUAAGUGGGAAACGAUGUGGGAAGGCCCAGACAGCCAGGAUGUUGGCUUAGAAGCAGCCAUCAUUUAAAGAAAGCGUAAUAGCUCACUGGUCGAGUCGGCCUGCGCGGAAGAUGUAACGGGGCUAAACCAUGCACCGAAGCUGCGGCAGCGAACGUAUCACCCAAGACAACUUUACGGAGUUGACGAUUGACGGAGCGAAGCGACGUCAAAGCGUUCAUUAAAGUCGAGUUGGCUUAGGGAUACGUUCGUUGGGUAGGGGAGCGUUCUGUAAGCCUGUGAAGGUGUGUCGUGAGGCAUGCUGGAGGUAUCAGAAGUGCGAAUGCUGACAUAAGUAACGAUAAAGCGGGUGAAAAGCCCGCUCGCCGGAAGACCAAGGGUUCCUGUCCAACGUUAAUCGGGGCAGGGUGAGUCGACCCCUAAGGCGAGGCCGAAAGGCGUAGUCGAUGGGAAACGGGUUAAUAUUCCCGUACUUGGUGUUACUGCGAAGGGGGGACGGAGAAGGCUAUGUUGGCCGGGCGACGGUUGUCCCGGUUUAAGCGUGUAGGUGUGUGUUCCAGGUAAAUCCGGUUCACUUUAACACUGAGGCGUGACGACGAGGCACUACGGUGCUGAAGCAACAAAUGCCCUGCUUCCAGGAAAAGCCUCUAAGCAUCAGGUAACAUCAAAUCGUACCCCAAACCGACACAGGUGGUCAGGUAGAGAAUACCAAGGCGCUUGAGAGAACUCGGGUGAAGGAACUAGGCAAAAUGGUGCCGUAACUUCGGGAGAAGGCACGCUGACACGUAGGUGAAGUGAUUUACUCAUGGAGCUGAAGUCAGUCGAAGAUACCAGCUGGCUGCAACUGUUUAUUAAAAACACAGCACUGUGCAAACACGAAAGUGGACGUAUACGGUGUGACGCCUGCCCGGUGCCGGAAGGUUAAUUGAUGGGGUCAGCGCAAGCGAAGCUCCUGAUCGAAGCCCCGGUAAACGGCGGCCGUAACUAUAACGGUCCUAAGGUAGCGAAAUUCCUUGUCGGGUAAGUUCCGACCUGCACGAAUGGCGUAAUGAUGGCCAGGCUGUCUCCACCCGAGACUCAGUGAAAUUGAACUCGCUGUGAAGAUGCAGUGUACCCGCGGCAAGACGGAAAGACCCCGUGAACCUUUACUAUAGCUUGACACUGAACAUUGAGCCUUGAUGUGUAGGAUAGGUGGGAGGCUUUGAAGUGUGGACGCCAGUCUGCAUGGAGCCGACCUUGAAAUACCACCCUUUAAUGUUUGAUGUUCUAACGUGGACCCGUAAUCCGGGUUGCGGACAGUGUCUGGUGGGUAGUUUGACUGGGGCGGUCUCCUCCUAAAGAGUAACGGAGGAGCACGAAGGUUGGCUAAUCCUGGUCGGACAUCAGGAGGUUAGUGCAAUGGCAUAAGCCAGCUUGACUGCGAGCGUGACGGCGCGAGCAGGUGCGAAAGCAGGUCAUAGUGAUCCGGUGGUUCUGAAUGGAAGGGCCAUCGCUCAACGGAUAAAAGGUACUCCGGGGAUAACAGGCUGAUACCGCCCAAGAGUUCAUAUCGACGGCGGUGUUUGGCACCUCGAUGUCGGCUCAUCACAUCCUGGGGCUGAAGUAGGUCCCAAGGGUAUGGCUGUUCGCCAUUUAAAGUGGUACGCGAGCUGGGUUUAGAACGUCGUGAGACAGUUCGGUCCCUAUCUGCCGUGGGCGCUGGAGAACUGAGGGGGGCUGCUCCUAGUACGAGAGGACCGGAGUGGACGCAUCACUGGUGUUCGGGUUGUCAUGCCAAUGGCACUGCCCGGUAGCUAAAUGCGGAAGAGAUAAGUGCUGAAAGCAUCUAAGCACGAAACUUGCCCCGAGAUGAGUUCU
rnacentral:rRNA from 1 species